CUAAUUCGUGGCAGAAGGCGAUGAACGCCAGUAUAUGGAUAUAGGAGUUGGGCACCAGUUGUGCGAAGCCUACUCCAAUAAACCCUAAGAGGGUAACUAUGAAGGCGUGGAGGGGUAGACGAAUCCCCUUCUCCAGCAGCGUAGUUGGCAUAGCGACCUAGCCGUCUGGUCGCUGGUACAUUCGCUCCUCAGCAGCUGGAGCCCUCAUAGCAUAGUUAUCCGGAACAUGGUAUCGAAUCCGGAGAGCUCGUAGUUCAGAUUCAGAGACGGUGGAGGUGAUGUUAGCGUGAGGAAAUUGUUCCCCAUCUUUGAAGAAAUCAGUUGGAGAUGGUGGAUUUGCACUUGAACCCUCUUGAUUAGGGUUUGAAUGAGAAGAACUUGAAGGGGUUUGGCUUGGAUUCACCAUUGUUGAGUUUUCGAAAGCUAAAGAGAGGUUUUCUGAGAAAGGGAAGAAGACUCAAAGGUUCGAAUUUCAAAUCGGUAGGUAAAACCGUCAAAUUUGGUGAAGUUUAUCUUUUAUACUGACGGUUACACGUAGAGCGAGGCCGGCGCAUUUAAUGUCAGUAAUGAUGAAAAUUCAAGUGGAAUGCGUUUGGAUGACCUUUGAAUAUCUUAUCAGAUUGGGCCUGACUGUUGGGUUUCUAUUUUAUUGGCCCAUCCUGUUCAAAUUCAA
rnacentral:lncRNA from 1 species